rnacentral:rRNA from 1 species
CUACGGGGGGCAGCAGUGAGGAAUUUUGCGCAAUGGGGGGAACCCUGACGCAGCAACGCCGCGUGAGUGAUGAAGGCUUUCGGGUCGUAAAGCUCUGUCAAGUGGGAAGAACCUAUGCAGUGUUAAUAUCACUGUAUACUGACGGUACCACUGAAGGAAGCACCGGCUAACUCCGUGCCAGCAGCCGCGGUAAUACGGGGGGUGCAAGCGUUAUUCGGAAUCAUUGGGCGUAAAGGGCACGUAGGCGGCUUGGUAAGUCAGAUGUGAAAGCCCGGGGCUUAACCCCGGAAGUGCAUUUGAUGCUGUCAGGCUUGAGUAUGGGAGAGGGAAGUGGAAUUCCUGGUGUAGAGGUGAAACUCGUAGAUAUCAGGAGGAACACCGGUGGCGAAGGCGACUUCCUGGACCAAUACUGACGCUGAGGUGCGAAGGCGUGGGUAGCAAACAGGAUUAGAUACCCUCGUAGUC